AACGAACGCUGGCGGCAGGCUUAACACAUGCAAGUCGAACGGACGUAGCAAUACGUUAGUGGCAGACGGGUGAGUAACGCGUGGGAAUGUGCCCUUUAGUUCGGAAUAACACAGAGAAAUUUGUGCUAAUACCGGAUAAUCCCGAGAGGGGAAAGAUUUAUCGCUGAAGGAGCAGCCCGCGUCUGAUUAGCUAGUUGGUGAGGUAAUGGCUCACCAAGGCGACGAUCAGUAGCUGGUCUGAGAGGAUGAUCAGCCACACUGGAACUGAGACACGGUCCAGACUCCUACGGGAGGCAGCAGUAGGGAAUAUUGGACAAUGGGCGCAAGCCUGACGCAGCCAUGCCGCGUGAAUGAUGAAGGUCUUAGGAUUGUAAAAUUCUUUCACCGGGGACGAUAAUGACGGUACCCGGAGAAGAAGCCCCGGCUAACUUCGUG
rnacentral:rRNA from 1 species